rnacentral:rRNA from 1 species
UACCAGCACCCCGAGUGGUCGGGACGAUUAUUGGGCCUAAAGCAUCCGUAGCCGGUCAUGCAAGUCCUCCGUUAAAUCCAGCUGCUUAACAGAUGGGCUGCGGAGGAUACUAUAAGACUAGGAGGCAGGAAAGGCAAGCGGUACUCAGUGGGUAGGGGUAAAAUCCGUUGAUCCAUUGAAGACCACCAGUGGCGAAGGCGGCUUGCCAGAAUGCGCUCGACGGUGAGGGAUGAAAGCUGGGGGAGCAAACCGG